rnacentral:tRNA from 1 species
GGACCUGUAGUUUAAUGGAUAGAAUAACGGGUUUCGGCCCCGUUGAUCCCGGUUCGAAUCCGGGCAGGUCCG